rnacentral:rRNA from 1 species
AACGAACGCUGGCGGCAGGCCUAACACAUGCAAGUCGAGCGCCCCGCAAGGGGAGCGGCGCACGGGUGAGUAACGCGUGGGAAUAUGCCCUGGGGCUGGGGAUAACGGCGGGAAACUGCCGCUAAUACCCGGUACGCCUUGAGAGGGAAAGGAGCAAUCCGCCCUGGGAGUAGCCCGCGUUGG